AAGAAGGUCAGUCUAGUGCCCUUUGGGUCUCUGGACCUUACGGUCUCACUCUCGGGUAUCUGACUGGAGCCUGGGCCUGGGCCACAACCAAAGACUGCCCUACCUCUCAGGACUCCUCAGGAUGAAGACAGCCUGGAAAAGACAAGCUGACCUCCCAGGUGUGGGUUUUCCUUUCCCCCGGCCACAGACCAGGGGCCUCCCAGAAGAAAUUUGGAAAUCUCCACAAAGAGCCAAAAGAGACUUGAUCUACAAAUUAUUUUUUUUUCCCCAAAAAAACUCUGAGCCGGACAUUCUUUAAGUAAAGUCUUGAUGCCUUCGUACCUCCAGGAACUUCAUUUACAUCUAGAAGAAACCUUGUUAUUCUCCUCAAGCCCAACACCCUUGCCUGGAGCUCUCUUUUACUUCAUGAAGGUGAAUUGUCUAAGACUACAAUUAGUAUAAGUGGAUACACAUUGCUUAUUUGUGAGUGUAUGGCCAGGCAGAGCCCUAGGACAUGC